UGACCAAUUCGACCUCAAAUCAGGCAG
rnacentral:rRNA from 1 species